CGCUGCCUUCAGAGCUGUUUCUGUUUUGUUUGGCUUUUGAAAGCAAAGCGACCGUUCUGAGCCACGCCUGGGCUAGAAUUCCCCUCGAUGGCUGCAGAAAGUAGGUUCCCGCACCCGAAAGCUCAGUCCCCGCGUGGAUCUAUCUUCAAAGCCCAGGUCAAAAGGCACAUUCAGCCCUGUUGGGCUGCAGAUGGGAAGUGCGAGGGAGGGGCACUGCUCCUGUCACCAGCGCGGGAAGCCUGGAGAUCAUCUGACCUCAGAGUGGGCAAAGAAAGACUGGAGGGCCGCGGCUCAGCCCUCACAGGGAGCUUCAGCCUGGAGCCCGCCGGGCGGUGGGUGAGGAAAGCUACACCGCUGGCUUCUCCGUGAGACAAAGCAGAGCCCGGGAGCCCACUGGAGGAGGUAGGUGUGACUGGGACGAUUCCCGGGGGCUUCCUGGUCCCCUCGAUCAGCAUCCCGGAGGGCGGCCGGGGCUUCCCAAGGUGCUGCCAGCAGGGCACAGCCCGCGCCCAGGGCCAGGGAGGACCCAACUUCCAUCCUCCGAGCAGCAGGAAGGGACAGCAAGAUUGCAGCCAAAGACAAAGCUGAGCCCAAGCCGAAGCCCAGAGAGGAGGCAAGGGAAGAACUGGUCCUCAGGAAUUCAGGGCAGGGAACCGGGAGGCAGGGCAGAGUCCACGGAGGCGCCGGGAGAAGGAAGGCUCGUGCAGGGAGGAGGCCGGCCGGGGCCUCCGGACCCCCUUGUCCUCCCGAGAGUAAACAGCGCGUCCCAGACCGGCCCGCUCACCCCAGCACGGGCGGUGGCGGAGACUUCGGGAUCGACCCGGAGCCACAAAAGGAUGCGGGGCGCAGGAGAGCAUCGCAGCCCCGCCCGGGACCAGCGCCACGAGACCCCCCUGCCUCGGCCGGCCUCGCCAGCGGGGUCUGGACUCCCGGGACCUGCCCGCCUCCCGCCCGCACUGCCCGACCCCGGAGACGCCACCCUGCGCCCCACCCCAGGCCGACACAGCCCCAGCUGGGCAGGGCGGGGUGUGGAUCCGGCUCAGGGACCCCGCGGACGCCCGCAAAGAUGCCACACACAGACCCUCGAAGGAGACCCUGCACAUAGGCACAGCUUCGUACACAGACUGGCACUGGGCCCUGCGCCCCACACACUGCCACGGACGCGAGAAGUCACAGGGUCGGGACCGCUCUGCCGGCCAGCGGAGGGGCCCUGCCAGGUCGCCCUCCACACCCUCCACCUCUGGCCUGGGCCUGGGGACGGUGGACGGCAGCUGAGCCUGGGUGAUUCAGCCAGGGUGUGCAACACAGGUCCCCCCUGCAGGCUGCCCAAGGGGGUGGGGUUCCAGGAGGGGAAGUAAAUGGCUGGAAGUCACAGCCGGACCUUGGACUGGCAGCCACAGGCUGGGAGCUUUGCCAUCUAGGUGCACAGGGUUGAUGCCUCUCACAGCCCCCAACAGGGAAAUGUCACCACGCCCCUGUUCCUUUCUCUACCGCAAGGAUCUUAGCGGAAGUCAAGCUCAAGGACAAGAUCCCCAACAGCAGCGGAACCCACUGACCUGGCUGGGGUGCAGAUUGGAGAUGCCAGCCACCGGUUUCUCUGGAGCCCGGAGAAGAAUCCCAGUCUUUGAAAUGGCAAAACCCACAAAAGGUCACAUCCCUGUGUUUGAAAGAUGUGCGGGGACCAUGCUGACAAAUUCUGGAAAGAUACAGACCAUAAUGAGUUGUUUGGAGGGAAUUAGGGAGAUAACAAGGUACGCGGAAGUCUCUAGAACUGUGUGUGGUGUGUGGAGAAAGUGAAAGCACUGUCCCACGUACUACGCAACAGGCACCAAGAGAUCUGGGUUGCCCAAGUCACACAGCUGGUUAGGGCACAGGGAGGAAAAUCAGUCUCCUGAUUCCUAGUCAGGGCUCUGGUUCCUCCAGUGCUUUCUGAAACCAGUGAGGAUAUAAAUAGUCUAGGGGAUAAACAAGUGAGUUGUACUACAGUUAAAAAUCAGAUUAAAGAACUUAGAUUUCUGUCCCUCUGCUUGUUAUGGCCAAAAGGAACAGGUCCUCGAAAGUCAGCUAGAGUGAGACAGGAAACCAAGUGCAUUCCCGCCACCCCUCAUCCUUGUUCGGCUUAGGGACCCACUAAGGGGAGAGUUUAUUUGUCCUUGUCCCUCUCUUGACACCUCCCGGUCAUCUCACUGUUGCAGCCUAGGCCUCCCUCAGGUGCCCACUGAUCUCCCAAAUGCCAGCCCUGCUGAAUUCCGCCUUCCUCUUCCUACUCAAAUGGGCCACAGCAUUCCUAAGUGUGGUCAGAUAAGACCCCAAAGGCUAAAGUCAGGGAAGAACUAGAGGCAACUAACAACAAACCAGGUAAAUGUUUUAAGUUAUAGGCAUUCCUCGUUUAAGGAUCAAGUUUUAUCCUUGCUACUAUGUUGUGAAAUGAACUGGUCCCUAAAUGAUAAAGGAGGAGGUAUAGAUAGUACGGACAUUACACUAUUCAGAACAAAGAAAAGGAAACUCCAACUUGAUGACUUUGCUUUUUUUUUUUUGAGACAGAGUCUGGCUUUGUAGUUCAGGUUGGCCUUGAAAUCACUAUGUAGUUCAGGCUGGCCUUGAACUCGUGGUGAUCCUCCUGCCUCAGCCUCCCAAGUGCUGGGAUCACAGGUAUGCACCACCACACCCUUUGAUGACUUUGCUUUGAUUUGUAUAACUCUCACAUGCAGUAUUGUAAUGUAUAACAGAACAUAAAACUAUACUACUGUACUGUACACUACAAGCAGCAAAAAUUGCAGUACUGUGUAAAGUGUACUGUACAAAAAAGACACUGAGGCUCUAUAAAGAUGUCCAGAACUCUGCAGAAAAGAUGGGUCAUAAGUCUGAGCAGUGGGACAUAAAUCGAAACAGUUGUUAAACAGGUGGGUCAGAAAUGAGAAAUACCUACAUGUUAGGAAAAGAGGACAGCUAUGCAAAACCAUCUGCUUAAAGGGGAGAGGGAGCCUCCAUGUUUAUUCGCAUAAUCUGCCCCUCCUGUUCCUUUAAUUUUGUUUUGCUCUGGUUUUUCUGUUUUUGGGGGUUUUUUUGGGGCGAUGGGGUCUCCUUAUGUCACCCAUGCUGGCCUCGAACUUGGGCUCCAGCAAUCCCUUGCCUUGGCCUCCUGGGUAGCUGGAACUGGAAGCUCGGGCCAACAUACCCAGCUGUUCCCUUGGUAUUUUUAUUCUCAAAGCACAGGAUGAAGGAGCCUAAUUACAUGUGCUGAUCUUCUGUCAUCUUUACUCAUUUUCAUUAAGUUUUGAGUCCUCACUCUCCACUUGAUUCAAAAAAGUGGUUCAACUGUAGUUAAAAAGCAAAGUUAAUUAAAAUCUUAAUCUUUUUUUUUUUUUUAAAGUCAACUCCCCAAGCUUAGACCAAAGCUUAUCCCUCACUGAGGCUCUCAGAGUUCGGGACCUGGGGCAGAGUUGGGGUUGGGGUAAGAGAAAAUGACUGGCAAAGAGAAAAUGACACUUGUGUUCACAUUAUUCAGUCAUUCAUGUCUCAACCAAAAAGCAUGGGUGGCCUUGGGAGCACAGCCUUGGAGUUGGACCCCGAUGUGGAGCAGUUCCUGAGGUCUCCAGAGCUGCCCCUGUGGGUAGAACAGGGCACCAGUGCACAGGGCUGACCUUGGCUGGCAGAGGCAAGGCUCAAUGGUGCAGCACAUUCAGGGGACCCCCUAGGGGUGCCUCCAAGGGGAGCACCCAGUUGGGCUACACCUGCCCCUGUUUCUGUGAGCUUGGGUUCCCAAUUCCAGGAUGAGGUCCUUUGACUUGUGUGGUCAGCAUUUCACUGCUGUGUGCAAAUCCAUGAGAAAAACAACCUAGAGGAAGAAAGACUGGCUCAUGGUUUCUGAGGUUUCAGUCCAUGGUCAGCCGGUCCCAUGGCUUUAGGCUGUCAUGGGAUGUGAGAGGAAAGCCAGGAAGCAGAGAAAGAGGAAAGGGCUGGGGACAGGAUAAAGUCCCCAGGGUCACGCCCCUAUGACCCACUCCCUUCAGUGAGGCCCCAACACCUGCCAAUAAUGCUAUCAAAUUAUGAUCUCAUCUCUGGGGAUUUAGCUCAGUGGUUCUGCCACCUGCCUCACAAGCACCAGGUCCUGAGUUUGAUCCCCAGUACCAAAAAAAAAAAAAAAAAAUUACGAUCUCAUCAAUGGGUUAACCCGUGAAUCCUCACAAUCCAGUCACCUUCCAAAAGUCCAUCCCCUGAACACAUUAGCUUUCUGGGGACCUUUAUUUGUUUGAUUUGAGACAGGGUCUCCCUACGUAGCUCAAGCUGGGCUCCAACUCUAGGUGGUCUUCCUGCCUCAGCCUCACAAGUGCUGG
rnacentral:lncRNA from 1 species